CACGUAGGCGGCUUCCUAAGUCGGAUGUGAAAGCCCCGGGCUUAACCUGGGAACUGCAUCCGAAACUGGGUCGCUAGAGUAAGGGAGAGGGAAGCGGAAUUUCCGGUGUAGCGGUGAAAUGCGUAGAUAUCGGAAGGAACACCAGUGGCGAAGGCGGCUUCCUGGCCCAUUACUGACGCUGAGGUGCGAAAGCGUGGGGAGCAAACA
rnacentral:rRNA from 1 species